rnacentral:rRNA from 1 species
UACGGGGGGAGCAAGCGUUGUUCGGAAUCACUGGGCGUAAAGGGCGUGUAGGCGGUUCGGUAAGUGGGAUGUGAAAUGCCCCGGCUCACCCGGGGACCUGCAUCCCAAACUGCUGAGCUUGAGUACAGGAGAGGGUGGGGGAAUUCCAGGUGUAGCGGUGAAAUGCGUAGAUAUCUGGAGGAACACCGGUGGCGAAGGCGCCCACCUGGCCUGCUACUGACGCUGAGGCGCGAAAGCUAGGGGAGCAAACGGGAUUAGAAACCCCCGUAGUCC